UGUCAAUGAUGUCCUAUAAACUACGAUUUAAUUCGAUUUGCUGUGAGAUCAUCUAUGCAAAACCUGAGACA
rnacentral:snoRNA from 1 species